rnacentral:rRNA from 1 species
CAGUCGCCGCGGUAAAACGUAGGGUGCAAGCGUUAAUCGGAAUUACUGGGCGUAAAGCGUGCGCAGGCGGUUUGUUAAGACAGAUGUGAAAUCCCCGGGCUCAACCUGGGAACUGCAUUUGUGACUGGCAAGCUAGAGUGUGGCAGAGGGGGGUGGAAUUCCGCGUGUAGCAGUGAAAUGCGUAGAUAUGCGGAGGAACACCGAUGGCGAAGGCAGCCCCCUGGGCCAACACUGACGCUCAUGCACGAAAGCGUGGGGAGCAAACAGGAUUAGAUACCCCGGUAGUCCCUGUCUCUUAUAC